rnacentral:rRNA from 1 species
GAAACUCAAAGGAAUUGACGGGGGCCCGCACAAGCGGAGGAACAUGUGGUUUAAUUCGAUGAUACGCGAGGAACCUUACCCGGGCUUAAAUUGCACCUGAAUAAUGUGGAAACAUGUUAGCCGUAAGGCAGGUGUGAAGGUGCUGCAUGGUUGUCGUCAGCUCGUGCCGUGAGGUGUCGGCUUAAGUGCCAUAACGAGCGCAACCCUUAUCUUCAGUUACUAACAGGUCAUGCUGAGGACUCUGGAGAGACUGCCGUCGUAAGAUGUGAGGAAGGUGGGGAUGACGUCAAAUCAGCACGGCCCUUACGUCCGGGGCUACACACGUGUUACAAUGGGAGGUACAGAAGGCCGCUACCUGGCGACAGGAUGCCAAUCCCCAAAACCUCUCUCAGUUCGGAUCGAAGUCUGCAACCCGACUUCGUGAAGCUGGAUUCGCUAGUAAUCGCGCAUCAGCCAUGGCGCGGUGAAUACGUUCCCGGGCCUUGUACACACCGCCCGUC